CCCUUAGAUGUUCUGGGCCGCACGCGCGCUUCAAUGGUCUUCGCAAACGGAUGCAUUCUCGAAGGAGAAUGCCAAUCUUGGAAUCUAUGCCUUGGUCGGGACAGUUGCUUGCAAUUUUUCGACUCGAACCAGGAAUUCCUUGUAAUCGUGAUUCAUCACAUCACGAUGAAUACGUCCCUGCCCUUUGUACACACCGCCCGUCGCUCCUACCGAUCGAAGAGUUAGGUGAAUUGUUUUGAUCGAUAAGAUUUGACUAUGGUCAACUCUCGUUGUGAAAUUCUGUGAAUCUGACUGUUUAGAGGAAGGAAAAGUCGUAACA
rnacentral:rRNA from 1 species